rnacentral:rRNA from 1 species
UACGAAGGGGGCUAGCGUUGCUCGGAAUCACUGGGCGUAAAGGGUGCGUAGGUGGGCAGGUAAGUCAGUGGUGAAAUCUCCGAGCUUAACUCGGAAACUGCCGUUGAUACUAUUUGUCUUGAAUAUUGUGGAGGUAAGCGGAAUAUGUCAUGUAGCGGUGAAAUGCUUAGAUAUGACAUAGAACACCAAUUGCGAAGGCAGCUUACUACACAACGAUUGACGCUGAGGCACGAAAGCGUGGGGAUCAAACAGG